UACGGAAGGCAGCAGUAGGGAAUCUUCCGCAAUGGACGAAAGUCUGACGGAGCAACGCCGCGUGAACGAUGAAGGCUUUCGGGUCGUAAAGUUCUGUUGUUAGGGAAGAACAAGUACCAGAGUAACUGCUGGUACCUUGACGGUACCUAACCAGAAAGCCACGGCUAACUACGUGCCAGCAGCCGCGGUAAUACGUAGGUGGCAAGCGUUGUCCGGAAUUAUUGGGCGUAAAGCGCGCGCAGGUGGUCCUUUAAGUCUGAUGUGAAAGCCCACGGCUCAACCGUGGAGGGUCAUUGGAAACUGGGGGACUUGAGUGCAGAAGAGGAAAGUGGAAUUCCACGUGUAGCGGUGAAAUGCGUAGAGAUGUGGAGGAACACCAGUGGCGAAGGCGACUUUUCUGGUCUGUAACUGACACUGAGGCGCGAAAGCGUGGGGAGCGAACAGGGAUUAGAUACC
rnacentral:rRNA from 1 species